AUUGAACGCUGGCGGCAGGCCUAACACAUGCAAGUCGAACGAGUGGCGGACGGGUGAGUAAUGUCUGGGAAACUGCCUGAUGGAGGGGGAUAACUACUGGAAACGGUAGCUAAUACCGCAUACCAUCGGAUGUGCCCAGAUGGGAUUAGCUAGUGGGUGGGGUAAAGGCUCACCUAGGCGACGAUCCCUAGCUGGUCUGAGAGGAUGACCGGCCACACGGGAACUGAGACACGGUCCAGACUCUAACGGGAGGCAGCGGUGGGGAAUAUUGCACAAUGAGCGCAGGCCGGAUACAGCCAUGCCGCGUGUGUGAAGAGGGCCUUCGGGUUUUAAAGCACGUUCAGCGGGGAGGCGUUACUCGCAGAGGAAGCACCGGCUAACUCCGUGCCAGCAGCCGCGGUAAUAC
rnacentral:rRNA from 1 species